GACGAACGCUGGCGGCGUGCCUAAUACAUGCAAGUAGAACGCAGUGGCGAACGGGUGAGUAACGCGUAGGUAACCUGCCUCAUAGCGGGGGAUAACUCUUGGAAACGUUAGCUAAUACCCCAUACUGUGCGAUGGACCUGCGUUGUAUUAGCUAGUUGGUGAGGUAAAGGCUCACCAAGGCGACGAUCCAUAGCCGACCUGAGAGGGUGAUCGGCCACACUGGGACUGAGACACGGCCCAGACUCCUACGGGAGGCAGCAGUAGGGAAUCUUCGGCAAUGGACGCAAGUCUGACAGAGCAACGCCGCGUGAGUGAAGAAGGCUUUCGGGUCGUAAAGCUCUGUUGGUCGAGAAGCGGUACCUAACCAGAAAGGGACGGCUAACUACGUGCCAGCCGCCGCGGUAAUUC
rnacentral:rRNA from 1 species